UACGUAGGGGGGCUAGCGUUGUCCGGAAUCAUUGGGCGUAAAGCGCGCGUAGGCGGUCAGGUAAGUCCGGUGUGAAAGUCAAAGGCUCAACCUUUGAAUGCCGCUGGAUACUGCCUGACUUGAGUCCGGAAGGGGCGAGUGGAAUUCCUGGUGUAGCGGUGAAAUGCGCAGAUAUCAGGAAGAACACCAAUGGCGAAAGCAGCUCUCUGGGACGGUACUGACGCUGAGACGCGAAAGCGUGGGGAGCGAACAGG
rnacentral:rRNA from 1 species